rnacentral:rRNA from 1 species
UGCCAGACUCCUACGGGAGGCAGCAGUGGGGAAUAUUGCACAAUGGGGGAAACCCUGAUGCAGCGACGCCGCGUGAGCGAAGAAGUACCUCGGUAUGUAAAGCUCUCUCAGCAGGGAAGAAGAUGACGGUACCUGACCAAGAAGCUCCGGCUAAAUACGUGCCAGCAGCCGCGGUAAUACGUAUGGAGCAAGCGUUAUCCGGAUUUACUGGGUGUAAAGGGAGCGCAGGCGGCCUUGCAAGUCUGAUGUGAAAGGCCGGGGCCCAACCCCGGGACUGCUCUGGAAACUGCGGCGCUGGAGUACGGGAGGGGCAGGCGGAAUUCCUGGUGUAGCGGUGAAAUGCGUAGAUAUCAGGAGGAACACCGGCGGCGAAGGCGGCCUGCUGGACCGUGACUGACGUUGAGGCUCGAGAGCGUGGGGAGCAAACAGGAUUAGAUACCCGAGUAGG